ACGGAAGGCAGCAGUGGGGAAUAUUGCACAAUGGGGGAAACCCUGAUGCAGCAACGCCGCGUGAGUGAAGAAGUAUUUCGGUAUGUAAAGCUCUAUCAGCAGGGAAGGUAAUGACGGUACCUGACUAAGAAGCUCCGGCUAAAUACGUGCCAGCAGCCGCGGUAAUACGUACGGAGCAAGCGUUAUCCGGAUUUACUGGGUGUAAAGGGUGUGUAGGCGGCGAAGUAAGUCAGAAGUGAAAGACCGGGGCUCAACUCCGGGGCUGCUUUUGAAACUGCAUUGCUGGAGUCCAGGAGAGGCGGGCGGAAUUCCUAGUGUAGCGGUGAAAUGCGUAGAUAUUAGGAAGAACACCGGUGGCGAAGGCGGCCUGCUGGACUGGUACUGACGCUGAGGCACGAAAGCGUGGGGAGCAAACAGGAUUAGAUACCCUGGUA
rnacentral:rRNA from 1 species